AUGUUUCUGUAAUUCGUAAACGUGGUGAUUGGGGUUUUGUGCUGUUGUGUGUUGUGCCUCCCUCAGACGUUAACGAUAUCAGCACAUUACCCGUUUUGAAA
ensembl:snoRNA